rnacentral:rRNA from 1 species
UAUCCCUACGGGACGCAGCAGUGGGGAAUAUUGCACAAUGGGGGAAACCCUGAUGCAGCAACGCCGCGUGAGUGAAGAAGUCAUUCGUGAUGUAAAGCUCUAUCAGCAGGGAAGAAAAUGACGGUACAUGAGUAAGAAGCCCCGGCUAACUACGUGCCAGCAGCCGCGGUAAUACGUAGGGGGCAAGCGUUAUCCGGAUUUACUGGGAGUAAAGGGAGCGUAGACGGCAGAGCAAGUCUGAAGUGAAAGCCCGCGGCCCAACUGCGUGACUGCUUUGGAACAUGCCCGGCUAGAGUGCUGGAGAG